UAGGGAAUCUUCGGCAAUGGGGGGAACCCUGACCGAGCAACGCCGCGUGAGUGAAGAAGGUUUUCGGAUCGUAAAGCUCUGUUGUUAAGGAAGAACGAGUGUGAGAAUGGAAAGUUCAUGCUGUGACGGUACUUAACCAGAAAGGGACGGCUAACUACGUGCCAGCAGCCGCGGUAAUACGUAGGUCCCGAGCGUUGUCCGGAUUUAUUGGGCGUAAAGCGAGCGCAGGCGGUUAGAAAAGUCUGAAGUGAAAGGCAGUGGCUCAACCAUUGUAGGCUUUGGAAACUGUUUAACUUGAGUGCAGAAGGGGAGAGUGGAAUUCCAUGUGUAGCGGUGAAAUGCGUCGAUAUAUGGAGGAACACCGGUGGCGAAAGCGGCUCUCUGGUCUGUAACUGACGCUGAGGCUCGAAAGCGUGGGGAGCGAACAGG
rnacentral:rRNA from 1 species